rnacentral:rRNA from 1 species
GAUGAACGCUGGCGGCGUGCCUAAUACAUGCAAGUCGAGCGAACAGACGAGGAGCUUGCUCCUCUGACGUUAGCGGCGGACGGGUGAGUAACACGUGGAUAACCUACCUCUAAGACUGGGAUAACUUCGGGAAACCGGAGCUAAUACCGGAUAAUAUAUUGAACCGCAUGGUUCAAUAGUGAAAGACGGUUUUGCUGUCACUUAUAGAUGGAUCCGCGCCGCAUUAGCUUGUUGGUAAGGUAACGGCUUACCAAGGCAACGAUGCGUAGCCGACCUGAGAGGGUGAACGGCCACAUGGGAACUGAGACACGGUCCAGACUCCUACGGGAGGCAGCAGUAGGGAAUCUUCCGCAAUGGGCGAAAGCCUGACGGAGCAACGCCGCGUGAGUGAUGAAGGUCUUCGGAUCGUAAAACUCUGUUAUUAGGGAAGAACAAAUGUGUAAGUAACUAUGCACGUCUUGACGGUACCUAAUCAGAAAGCCACGGCUAACUACGUG